GCCCUUCGCUCCGUAAUGUGAAUUGCAGAAUUCCGUUAAUCAUCGAAUCUUUGAACGCACAUUGCGCCCUCUGGCAUUCCGGGGGGCAUGCCUGUCCGAGCGUCAUUACGCACCCUCAAGCCCGGCUUGUGUGAUGGGCCCCGGCGUCUCGUUCGCGAGACGGGCCCGAAAGGCAGCGGCGGCGUCGACCCGAUGAGCCCGAGCGUAUGGGGACUUCUGUCACACGUUCGCGGUGCGGACCGGCGCCUGCUUUGACUUUUCUGAUUAUCCAGGUUGACCUCGGAUCAGGUAGGGAUACCCGCUGAACUUAAGC
rnacentral:misc_RNA from 1 species